GACGAACCGUGCGAACGUUGUUCGGAAUCACUGGGCUUAAAGGGCGCGUAGGCGGGCCGCCGCGUCCGGGGUGAAAUCCCCCCGCUCAACGGGGGGACGGCCUCGGAUACGGGCGGUCUGGAGGCGGGUAGGGGCACGCGGAACUGUGGGUGGAGCGGUGAAAUGCGCAGAUAUCGGGAGGAACACCGGUGGCGAAGGCGGGUCUCUGGGCCGUAACUGACGCUGAGGAGCGAAAGCGUGGGGAGCGAACAGG
rnacentral:rRNA from 1 species